ensembl:lncRNA
UAAAGGUGAACACAAUGGGUUUGGUUUACUUUUCGCAUCGGCCUGUGUCAAUCGAGGUUGAGUUGAGUUGAGUUGAGUUGAGUUGAGUUGAGUUGAGUUUAGUGAGGGUUGAAAGUUUUCGAUCUAGAUUGCAGAUCACUAUUGUCACUUUAUACAAACUUAAAGUAUGCGUUGUUGCGUGUUUGUUUUUGUGGGCAUUUGACUGAACAGCCCAGACAAAUAUUGCUACCAACAUGGCACUUUGAAACAGACCACCGCAGAGUUAGAUGACUGACAAGAUCUAUGGGGGGGCCCCCUUUGGGCCCCCCCAUACCAACUUAGUCUUCAAAGGAAUCUAGUGCCAUGGGACUCCAGUGUCUUCAAAACAUCCUCGGAAUACAUGUGUAUGAAUGGUCCACCAGAGCCAUCUUUCGGUCUUGGUCAGGAUUUGUUACAGUUGCCCUUCAAUGUAGCAGGCUACGGGUUUCUGAAGAAGCCUGCUUUACGUAGCAUUAGAGUACAAAUAUUGUGCAAAAUGCUCAUGUAAUUGCACUAGCACUAGUAACCUUUAGAUUAGCUUAGUUUAACGUCAUUCCGUGCUGUCUCUGUCAAAUGUGUGGCUUACUUUAAGUCCACAAGGCCCUCUGGGAAACCACGUUGGAACACCCCUGGACAAGGUUAUUAGUCACUGGGUGUGUGCUAAAGUUUUGCUCCAUUUUUCACUAGUUGGUUAAGGUUUGGUAGAAUUGUUUGGAUGCUAGCGACGUGAUGGUGUAUGUACAAGAGCCUACCGUGGCCAGGCCGCAGAUGCGACGGCCACGGCCAGAUGGCCUAGUGUGAGUGCAACCUUGAUUGCAUUUGUAUACUGUUUACCAUUGGAUGUUUAUACAAUUUGGCUUAAUUCAUCCGCAGUAAAGCUGCAUUUGACUAAUCCAGGGUCGUUUUGUAAAGGCUUUCAAUUGACCAUGUUGACUAGUUUGUGGGAAGUUUUUUUUUUUACCCUUGCUUACAAUCCAACGGUUGUGACCACUUAUGCAACUGGGCUGUCAACCUUGCAAUUCUAGUUGCAUAUUUGUACACGCAAGCUUGUCCAUUUCUAUCGCCAUCACUAACACUAGCUUCAGCAUUUCCUUGUAGGCCAUUAGCUGACUUGUGUAUUGGAGCGACGAUUUGGGUAUUUUAAGAUGCUUGAAAACCUAAAAUAAAGCAAAAUGCGUGUCUGGUGUGCAAGAGCCAAUUUGUUGGCUUGCAAUAGUCGAGGAGUUGCCGUAGGUCGUAAGCCAUCUGGAGGUUGUGGCAAUGGAGGCUUGUGGUAGAUCUGCCAUCCAAUAAAGGUUAAUUCUUCUGAAGCAUGAUUAAUAGUUUAGUAAAUUGAAUCUAUUCAUAUAGAACUAUAAAAUCCAAGACUGCAGCCAGUAACUUGGAUCGCAAUAUGUGGAAAGUAUUAGUCUUCAUUUGUAACAACAGAAUAAUUAACAUGACUAACUGGGUUUCUUCCAUUUUCUAACUAGGGGGACUUGACUGGUGAGUCUACUGGAUUAAUCAGUAGCGAUACUUUGCCCAACAGAUUUGAUGGCAUGACUACAGGGUGACAAAGACAAUCUGUCUGCUAGAACAGUUCCUAUACUUUUUGUAUAAUUAGGUCAUGCUGCAAAUUUACUUUUUGUAGUUGCUCCAUAUUUAGUUCUUUGACAGCCUCACCUGCUAGAAAAGUCUAUUCAAAUCGGCUAAAUAUAAUGAACUAAAUUAAUAGCCAUGAAAUGUUGUCACUCAUACUAAUGGCAAAUACCGUCUAUCAGGUGGUGGUUCAACACUGAUGUCUCUCUAGUCUUGAGGGAGAGCUCACAAGUAAAUUACACGAAUGUCCUGGAGCAAUUGGGAAUACACUUUUAUUUAGUCUACCUGACCAGGGACAUCUUUGAACUAUAGGUCACCUAACCCAAACUUUUCACUCUUGUUAGGGUGUCCUUUUCUCGUUUUAACCCGAAAGGGCUGAAAUAUCAACAUUUCAGGUAUUCUGUUUGGAUAAUGUGCAAAACUUGUGGCUUCACUAAUAAAAAAAAUUAACAAUGUAUUUUUCUUAAUGUGGUUAAACUAUUUAAAGAUUUGUAUGCAAAAUAUUUCUGCUCAAUUUGUGGUCAAUGAAACUGACAUUUUUUUAAUUUGAUAAAACAACUAUGGGUUAAAGGUAUUUGCUUUGGGCAUCUUUUGAUAUUUUUAGAAUCUAGCUCCAUUGCUGUUAGAAAUGGUGUCUCCCAGUACUGCAAAGUGCUUCCACAAGUUUAAAAAAUGGGCAGAAAAGGAACUGCCAACUAAAUCUAUUUAACAUGGGUAGAAAGUUUCCAUGGAAGCUCUUGGCUGCUGGUUCCCAACACAGCUCCACUGUUAGCCUGUGACCUUGCGUUUAACUUUUUUCAACUUUUGGUGACUUUCACAAAAGAGAAAUGAACUGGUUAAUACAAUAAACAAGACAUUUCAUGGUACCAUUUUGAACUGUUUGUGGAUAUUGCAUUAAAUCCAUAUGCUUGAACGAAACAAUGGAAUGAAAUAAAUAGUUCAAGCAAUUUGUGGGACUUGGCUGCUUUUACAUUAUUACUCAAUUUGGGGUUUAUUUCAGUCUCUCCAACCUGCAGGUCGUGCAAAGAAUCAUGUGAAUGUGAAUAUUCUAUAAAUGUCUUGAUAUCAUCUUUCGUCUCAACACUUCUGCUGC